rnacentral:rRNA from 1 species
UACAGAGGGUGCGAGCGUUACUCGGAAUUACUGGGCGUAAAGCGCACGUAGGUGGCGACGUAAGUCGGGUGUGAAAGCCCCCGGCUCAACUGGGGAGGGUCACGCGAUACUGAUCGACUCGAAGGCAGGAGAGGGUAGUGGAAUUCCCGGUGUAGUGGUGAAAUGCGUAGAUAUCAGGAGGAACACCUGUGGUGUAGACAGCUUACUGGACCACGACUGACGCUGAGACACGAAAGCGUGGGUAGCAAACAGG